GCGGCAUGCUUAACACAUGCAAGUCGCACGGCCGGCGACGGCAGUGGCGGACGGGUGAGGAACGCGUAGGAACAUGUCCUGAGGUGGGGGAUAACCCUGGGAAACUGGGGCUAAUACCGCAUGUGAGCUGAGGCUCAAAGCAGUGAUGCGCCUUGGGAGUGGCCUGCGUACGAUUAGCUUGUUGGUGGGGUAACGGCCUACCAAGGCGACGAUCGUUAGCUGGUCUGAGAGGACGGCCAGCCACACUGGGACUGAGACACGGCCCAGACUCCUACGGGAGGCAGCAGUGGGGAAUAUUGGACAAUGGGCGCAAGCCUGAUCCAGCAAUGCCGCGUGGGUGAAGAAGGUCUUCGGAUUGUAAAGCCCUUUCGGCGGGGACGAUGAUGACGGUACCCGCA
rnacentral:rRNA from 1 species